rnacentral:rRNA from 1 species
UAGGGAAUCUUCGGCAAUGGGGGCAACCCUGACCGAGCAACGCCGCGUGAGUGAAGAAGGUUUUCGGAUCGUAAAGCUCUGUUGUAAGAGAAGAACUGUGAGAAGAGUGGAAAGUUUCUCACUUGACGGUAUCUUACCAGAAAGGGACGGCUAACUACGUGCCAGCAGCCGCGGUAAUACGUAGGUCCCGAGCGUUGUCCGGAUUUAUUGGGCGUAAAGCGAGCGCAGGCGGUUUUGAUAAGUCUGAAGUAAAAGGCUGUGGCUUAACCAUAGUACGCUUUGGAAACUGUCAAACUUGAGUGCAGAAGGGGGAGAGUGGAAUUCCAUGUGUAGCGGUGAAAUGCGUAGAUAUAUGGAGGAACACCGGUGGCGAAAAGCGGCUCUCUGGUCUGUAACUGACGCUGAGGCUCGAAAAGCGUGGGGGAGCGAACAGGAUUAGAUACCCUGGGUAGUCCACGCCCGUAAAACGAUGAGUGCUAGGUGUUGGGUCCUUUCCGGGGACUCAGUGCCGCAGCUAACGCAUUAAGCACUCCGCCUGGGAGUACGACCGCAAGGUUGAAACUCAAAUGAAUUGAC